AUAACAGUUAUAUCUUUGUAAAUACUCUUUAAAUCUAUGUCUUCCUUGCCUGGAAUUGGAGUAUAGGAGUACAUUAUGGCAGGAUCAGUCAUUCGGGCAAACUAACCCUCCUCUAAGAAGAAUUGUGCUAUGCCCUCCCGAUCCCUAUAGAGCGAAAGAGCUGUCUGGUGAUCCCUAGGUUGCAGCACGUCUGGUCGUUAACUCCUCGCGCCGCUGCCGCCAUUUCUAGGACCGACCGACGACCGUGGCUAACUCAAUUUCUUUAAAGAAAAGAUAAAGUUUUGAAAAUCAUAUUUAAAAAUAUAUAAAAACAAAUUAAUUUGUUCA